ensembl:snRNA U6 U6 spliceosomal RNA
AUGCUCGCUUAGGCAGCACAUAUACUAAAAUUGGAAUAAUACAAAGAUUAGCAUGGCCCCUGUGCAAGGAUGGCAUGAAAGUUCAUGAAGCGUUCCAUAUUUUU